AGUGAACGCUGGCGGUAGGCCUAACACAUGCGAGUCGAACGGCAGCACAGUAAGAGCUUGCUCUUACGGGUGGCGAGUGGCGGACGGGUGAGGAAUACAUCGGAAUCUACUUUUUCGUGGGGGAUAACGUAGGGAAACUUACGCUAAUACCGCAUACGACCUACGGGUGAAAGCAGGGGAUCUUCGGACCUUGCGCGAUUGAAUGAGCCGAUGUCGGAUUAGCUAGUUGGCGGGGUAAAGGCCCACCAAGGCGACGAUCCGUAGCUGGUCUGAGAGGAUGAUCAGCCUCACUGGAACUGAGACACGGUCCAGACUCCUACGGGAGGCAGCAGUGGGGAAUAUUGGACAAUGGGCGCAAGCCUGAUCCAGCCAUACCGCGUGGGUGAAGAAGGCCUUCGGGUUGUAAAGCCCUUUUGUUGGGAAAGAAAAGCAGCAGGUUAAUACCCCGCUGUUCUGACGGUACCCAAAGAAUAAGCACCGGCUAACUUCGUG
rnacentral:rRNA from 1 species